rnacentral:tRNA from 1 species
GCUCCCAUGGCGUAGUGGUCACUGCACUGUGCUCGCCUUCCACGCGGGAGACCCGGGUUCGAUUCCCGGCGGGGUCA